UUCAAAACAUUAUUUCAGCUUUAAAUCUGGAACCACGUACAAAUGGUUUUUUCCAUAACAGCUUUCAUCCCUAAGGUUGUCAUCUUUGCUUUGCUGCUCCUUGUGUCGUUCAAUGUUUCCGCGAUGAAUCAGCUCGUCGAAACCAAUAAAGCUGCUCGGAUAGCUAGUAAGACAAGGAUUGAAAAGAAGGGUGUGACGAAUGACAAAUGUAGAAGAUUAAUCGCUCGAGAGUUCGACUGGCCGCCUUGGAACGGAAAUUAUGCCAUCCCUCCUCCUUCUAAUCCUACUCGAUCUUGUUUAACAUGUUAAACUUAAUUAUAACUUUAUAUAUUUCUUAUAAAAAAGUUUUUGAGUUAUUUAAUGAUAGUUUAACAUCAAGUUGCAUUAGAAAAGAACAUGAUGUGAUUAUGCAUUCAAACUUCUACACCAUCAUUUUCUAUUGAUAUAAGUAUUAAAUUCAUCUUUGAACUAUAAAACUGCUUGUAUUUUUCGUUCA